rnacentral:misc_RNA from 1 species
CGCACAUUGCGCCCCUUGGUAUUCCAUGGGGCAUGCCUGUUCGAGCGUCAUUUGUACCCUCAAGCUUUGCUUGGUGUUGGGCGUCUUGUCUCUCCUCUUUUGGGGGGUGGACUCGCCUCAAAGUCAUUGGCAGCCAGUGUUUUUGGCAGUAAGCGCAGCACAUUUUGCGUCUUAGUCCCUGAACAGUGGCAACCAGUAAGCCCUCUUCUCACUUUUGACCUCGGAUCAGGUAGGGAUACCCGCUGAACUUAA